rnacentral:rRNA from 1 species
UACGUAGGGCGCAAGCGUUGUCCGGAAUUAUUGGGCGUAAAGAGCUCGUAGGCGGUCUGUCGCGUCGGCUGUGAAAACCCGGGGCUCAACCCCGGGCCUGCAGUCGAUACGGGCAGACUAGAGUGCGGUAGGGGAGACUGGAAUUCCUGGUGUAGCGGUGGAAUGCGCAGAUAUCAGGAGGAACACCGGUGGCGAAGGCGGGUCUCUGGGCCGAGAUUGACGCUGAGGAGCGAAAGCUAGGGGAGCAAACGGG